rnacentral:rRNA from 1 species
CACGUAGGGUGCGAGCGUUGUCCGGAAUUAUUGGGCGUAAAGGGCUCGUAGGCGGUCCGUCACGUCGGGAGUGAAAACUCGGGGCUCAACCCCGAGCCUGCUUCCGAUACGGGCGGACUAGAGGUAGGUAGGGGAGAACGGAAUUCCUGGUGUAGCGGUGGAAUGCGCAGAUAUCAGGAGGAACACCGGUGGCGAAGGCGGUUCUCUGGGCCUUACCUGACGCUGAGGAGCGAAAGCGUGGGGAGCGAACAGG